AUGAAGUCGGAAUUGCUGUAAUGGCAGGUCAGCAUACUGCCGUGAAUACGUUCCCGGGCCCUUGUACACACCGCCCGUCACACCAUGAGAGUUGGGAAUACCCGAAGCCUGUGAGCCAACAAACGAGGCAGCAGUCGAAGGUAGAAUCAAUGAUUGGGGUGAAGUCGUAACAAGGUAGC
rnacentral:rRNA from 1 species